UAACCCAAUGAGGUAAACCCAUA
rnacentral:siRNA from 1 species